AGGUUGUUUUUCCUGGCCUUGUGCAAGAGGACGAGGAGCUUCUGCGCCUUCUAUAAGGUUAUCAGCCUUUGUGCUACGGUGCCAGGAAGGAGUCUUAACACGUGAUAUCUUCAAGCAUCUGAUGGGGUUUCUGAGCGCCAGAGGCCACAGGAGCAGGGAGAAGAGCCAGUGAUCGCAAUGGCCAAUU
rnacentral:lncRNA from 1 species